UUCCCAAAGCUGAAGGCCCUGCUGUGGAGUGGCUGCAGCAGUGUUAAAGACGGAAACGUUGCUGUGUUUCAGUUUUAGGCAAUCUUCUGCUUUCUAUUUCCACUAUCACAAAGCAUUUUGCAUUCACAAAACAUCUUUUCCUUUUUAAAAGCUGCAAGUAGGCUUCUUGGAUGAGGAAAGAAUCAUUUUGUAUUAGUAGGAACCACAAACGCAAUUGCUGGAAAAAUCAAUGUAGCCUUUGCUUUGGAGCACCUGGUGCCACACUAUGCAUGUUACCUACAUACAUGUGCAGAUGAAGUAGAAAAAUGAGCAGCCUAAGACAGGCUCUUUUUGUUCAAUAGUUGCAGGCAGAGGAAUGAUCACAGAUGGAAAAAAAUCACCCUGCUCAGCUGUAGAGUCAGGCUGCAAUGUGAAAAUGUAAGCAUGAAUCAGAAGGUACCAUCAGCAGGCAGGAGCAUCUCUCCUCCUCUGUGGAGGACUCAGGUGUAGGCACGCUGCUAAUGGAAGGGCUCUUUCCCUGAUGGUUUCUGCAGUGACACCUUUCCUUCUGGGAAGCACCUGGGGCUUCUCUGUGCCUGCAUGCAAACCCUGCUGCCUCAGGAAGAGGAGGUCUGCUCUUCCUCCCCAGCUGCCUCUCCCCGGAGGGGUUUCCCCACCAUGAUCUCAUGGAGCAAUAAUGGGAAAAGUCAUCAGAGAUGUGAAACUGCUCAUGAGUUGUGGUUGCAGAAAAGGGAAAAAUGCUCAAGUGAAAGACUCGGAUCAGGUGUGUGGUUUUUAUACCAUGAGCUAUAUAAAGGAUUGGGACUAGCCACCUACAUUCUGGCUGAAGCUUUGGAGAGUUCUAUUGCUGAUGAUUUCAUUUACUGCUAUUUCUCCAAUGUGCCUCUGGAAGUGGAUGCCAACGUGUGAAGACACCAUGGCAGGGUCAGUGUCAGUCAGCCACCUUUAGGAUGACAGCUGCCAUGUGAAUCCAUAUCUCAUCUCCUUGGAGGUUCAUGCAAGCUGAACGGCCUGCACAGAGCUGCUGAGAGCUGUGAGGCUGAGGUGCAAGGAAAGUGCAAAGGCUUCGCGGAGGGUGGCAGAUGGAGAGAAAGACCUGCUCAUUGCUUAGGGCAUUAUGCUGGCAGCUUUGUGGAGCACUUCACGCUCAUUGUGGUGUGGGUGCAAAAUGCUACCCGAGCAGAAUGGUGGCAGUUUGCACCCCCUUUUUACUCUCAUUGUACCAGAUUCAAUGUCAAGACAAGAUGAAACUGAGGUCCUAAAUCUCAGCAGAUCACCUCUCUGAAAUUGUAUCUAGUAUGGUGGUUCUGCAUUCAGCAAAUAUCCAGUCCUGACAUCAGUUAUUCGCACAAAACUUGUUCACUUGAGUUUUCUAGCAUCUCAUGUGAGGGCUAUUCCAGAUUUUCUCAUGGGAGCCCAUUCUGCUAUUGAGUUGACCAUACUGAUAGAAACAUUCUUUGUGUUGCUCCAUCUAAACAGCCUUUUGUUUGUUAUAUCCUUCUACUUUUUGUUAUAUCCCAUUUAGUGAGUUUCUUGUUUGAGCGUACACAUCUGGAUUGGCGAGAGACAGCAGCAGCCUAAGGUGUAUAUAUACAACUUGGGUUUAAAGUUUCAUUAUGUAGGUCAAAAGCAGUUUUGAAAACAAUACCUUCUAGAAGCCACUCAGAAAACUGUCAAAUAAAGCUAUAACCAAAGCGGUCUUCGUAGAUGGG
ensembl:lncRNA